UUUUUCCUAGAAUUGCUACUUUCAUUAGGGUUCGUAUCAACAAGAGUAAGAGUUUGAUUACUUGAUAAGUUUGUACGAUGUCGAUUACUCUUGGAUGAAUCCUUCCAGAGAGACUUGGAUUUCCGUUGGUCGAACGAAGAAUGUUCACCGCCAAUGUCGCCUAACCUUACGCUGGGUCGACGAUAACGCUUGGAGCCGAUGUUGUCAUGUGCCGCCAUUUCUCCGCCGUCGUCCGGUGAUUGAUGCUCGGACAUUGAGAA
rnacentral:misc_RNA from 1 species